AGAACGCUGGCGGCAGGCCUAACACAUGCAAGUCGAACGAGAUCUUCGGAUCUAGUGGCGGACGGGUGAGUAACGCGUGGGAAUAUGCCCUUUGGUACGGAAUAGCCUCGGGAAACUGAGAGUAAUACCGUAUGUGUCCUCUGAUCGUGGUGGUUGGAGGAGAAAGAUUUAUCGCCAAAGGAUUAGCCCGCGUUGGAUUAGAUAGUUGGUGGGGUAAUGGCCUACCAAGUCUACGAUCCAUAGCUGGUUUGAGAGGAUGAUCAGCCACACUGGGACUGAGACACGGCCCAGACUCCUACGGGAGGCAGCAGUGGGGAAUCUUAGACAAUGGGGGCAACCCUGAUCUAGCCAUGCCGCGUGAUCGAUGAAGGCCUUAGGGUUGUAAAGAUCUUUCAGUUGGGAAGAUAAUGACGGUACCAACAGAAGAAGCCCCGGCUAACUCCGUGCCAGCAGCCGCGGUAAUACGGAGGGGGCUAGCGUUAUUCGGAAUUACUGGGCGUAAAGCGCACGUAGGCGGACUGGAAAGUUAGAGGUGAAAUCCCAGGGCUCAACCUUGGAACUGCCUUUAAACUAUCAUCU
rnacentral:rRNA from 1 species